AUCUGUGUUGAUCUUCUUUCUUUUUUUUGUCCUACAGGAACCUUUCUGCCCCCCACUGGUCACCACAGGUAAGUAUCCCAGGUAAGAAGGUAUGUGCAUAUAUACACUUUUUUCUGAUUCCUGAUAUUGUUAAAUCACUUUUUCUCCUUCCACAGGAAUCCCUCACCUCCCACCUGGAAGACAGCAGGGGGUAUACAACCUUUAGAUGUUCAUAUUAAUAAAUCACCAAUCCAUAAUUUUAACAUUGUCUCUGCGGUUUCAGUGGUCCAGAGAACCGGAUCCCGUCCCGUUACCUGGAAUUGGCGUUGAUCCAUCUCAGGUUUUCCCAAGCUGCUGCAGCUGUUUCACUGUGGUCCUGGGUUUCUGUCUAUCCAGACAGUUCACCAUCCCCACUGACAGAAUCACAUGUUCUGUGUUUGGGUUCGGCGUCAGCUUCUCCAGUAUCCCCCUUAAAUGAUGGCAGUUUGCCCCUGGGAAACUGUCAACCUGGAUAUGUUCAUCCUUAAAAGUCGGAUGGAUAACGGGCUCCUCUCUGAGGAGGACCUUUGGCUGUGACUGGCUGAGAGCGUGACGGUAAGUAGGGUCAAG